CACACAGGAAAUUCAUUAUAUGUCAACACUUUAAAAAUAGACGCGAUUCUGAGAUAAUGAGAAUCAAAGUUACAUUAUAAAUAGAAGAGAGCUUUUCUGCUGGUUGAAAUUUUGUAGCGAACUUAGUGAAAACAACAUUGCAAGAAGGAAAGGAAGUUUUGAAAAAGUUUGUAAGUUCUUAGUUAUAUUUUUAUUAUCAUUGUAAAGUUCAUGGAAGACAGAUAAAUUUUUUGUGUUGAUGGCCAAUGCUUUCAAAAAAACCGAUUGACCGCCCAUUUGAAAUUGUACACAUAUUGUGUUAGCUAUCCUUAUAGAGUACAUUUUUAAAAGAUUAGAUAUUCGAAACUCAGAAUAUUAACACGCAAUCUCCCUCUCCUAAAACAGCAUGUUAGUCAAAUUGUGCAUGAAAACACUGUAUUAUAGUGUUGUAUGUUACUUCAGGAGGUCUAUUUGAGCAUUAGCAUGAUCGGAAUGUUUAAACUAAUUUCGGAUUCUGCUUCAGUCGCUUCAUGAUGAAUUAUUCGCAAGUAUUUGCAGUUGUCACCAUCCUGUGUUUCAUUGGGCUGUGUUCUGGUUUGCCAAGUUGGCAUCUAGACAAGAAAGAUUCUGAAGGUAAAGAAACUGUUAGUAUAUUACUGGAUAUUUGAAAUCGAAUCCCUUCAGGUUGUCUUUAACUUUGUGCACAUUUCGUUCCUAAUAUUUUCGUUACUCUUUUUGUGCUCGUUAGCAGUCUCAUAUUCUUUUCGUUUUGCUAUUUUUUUUAUGCCGUGUAGUUGAACACAAUAAUUCACGAUAUAAAAUAUAACAUCACUUUCUGGCAGCCUGAGACAAAUAUCCAUUUUUUCUGAUAUAUUUGAAAUGGUGGGGGAAUGUUUCAAGAUUCUAUCACUGCGUUUUCAUUUAGAUGAUUCGACGGAGAUACUCACUGAGACAACGUAUUGCACAUGCAAGGAUGGUACUACUGGUGUAAUGCGUGCUUUUCAAUGCAGCGGCUCAGAAAAGAAAUGCGGCCCAGGCACGUUCCCUCCGUUCACCAUAUGUUGCAAACGUGUUUAGUUGAAGAAGUCAAUAAAGCAAGAACGUUUGAGGAAAUUACCACAACAUAUUUUUUCUUACUUUAUAUAUAGAGUUAAUACAAAAAAUAACGAUUUUGCUCUUAUACCUUGUAUCAGUGAAGCGUUGUAAUUGUAUGUAGUAGAAAUAUUUGAAAUACAGUCAAGGAAAC